rfam:Schistosoma mansoni strain Puerto Rico chromosome 5, complete genome
AUCAGGUGACGAGUCCCAUAUAGGACGAAAUGCGCGUCCUGAU